CUACGCGGUGAGAUUUCUCAUUCUUAAAAGAAAACAACCUUAAAAAGUCACUUUUAAUGGCACAAGUGACAAUCUUCAAGGAUGUUUAUUUAAAUUCACGCAUCUGGCUGAAGAAAUGACAAAAAACAAGCAGGAAGCUUCGCGUGAUCACCACUUAGCAAAACCUGGAACUUUUUUUUUUUUACAGUUUUUCACUCAACAAGCUUCAAUUGUGUGUAAAAUUCUUAUUUGAAACAUUAAGCUGGUUUUCAUAUUAAAUAGUUUGAAACUUUUGUCUCAGCAAGUUUCAUGUCUACUGUUGAAAAUCUUUAUUAUUGCAAUAAAAAAAACAAUAACUCUUUUUGAA